rnacentral:rRNA from 1 species
AUGGUUGGCUCACCGAUGUUCAAUCUUCAUUUAUAUCUCCAUGCUAAUUUUAGAAACUACAAGUUUAAGUUUGAGAUAUACGGGGAAAGUGGAUCCAUUCAUCCUGAUUAUUCAUCCCACAGAUUUGAUGGCUAUCAGUCAAAGUUGGUCUCUUCUCCAGACAGCCUGUAUCUUGUACAUAUUCAGAGAUUAAUUACUGGUUUACAUCUGUUGUAUGCGUGCAUGCUUUCUUAUUUUUGGAAUAAAUUCUCUAAUUUACUCCAUACCCUAUAUGGAUUCCACAUGCGCACUAAUUUUUUAGAAGGGAUUUAG